GCGAUCAAACGAAGAAGCGGCCGAGAUAGCACACACUACUUGUGUCUGUGGGUAAUGACGUGAAAGCAAGCACAGUGGUUUCGUGUCGAUGAAAGUUAGCGCAAAAAUAAUUUUUGAUAAAACGAACUUUUUAACUGUUAGUCUAACGGUUACGGCAAGAAGAAUACUGUGAACAGAUCUAAGAAGUGAAAUUGUUAGAAACUGGAACCAACUAUAGUAGUUAUCGUCAAAAGGAUACUCGUUAAAAUAAGAAAAUCUCUCUACAGAAGCAAAAACGCUAACCCAGCAAUUAUCCCGAUUUUAAGAGGCUUGUUUAAAAAGUGAAACGUGGUGGCGGCGAUGUAAUUUUGCUAUGGGGGUGUAUGUCGGGCAGCGAAAAUAGAUUUUAUUGCCACCAAAAUGGAAAAGUUUAUUUAAACAUUUUGAAGCAAAUUAUGAAAGAAAGUGCUAGAUAAUUGGGGUUGCCUAGAGAGUUUUUAUUUUCAAGAAAACGACCUAAAGCACAUUGCUGGCGUCAUUCAUCUUUGGCUACUUCAAUCACAAUCAACGGAUCUCAACCCUAUAGAACACUUGUGGGCACUCUUGGAACAAAGAAUUCGCAUUCAUAACAAUACCAGCAAGGAGAUGCUGAAAAAUUACUUCUUGGAAGAACGGUCCAAACUAUCCGCGGUUAAGGCAAUGAAAAUUGUUCUUUCCAUGUCCAGAAGGCUUGUUUAUGUUCGAAAACACGGGUUUAUCUCACAAGUUACUAAUUUUUUUACUUAUAGUAUAUUAUGUUAAACAUUCAUUAUAAUAUAUUAUAACAUUAAACUAUGAAAUAUCUAAUAUUUUACGUUCCCUUAGUUUUGUUAAAAUAUCUUGUAUAUUGAUAUAUUGGGUAUAUACAUGGUAUAAAACCAACCAGAAACUUGAGAUUCUUUUAGAGAUAUUGACCCGAUCUUAUCCAAGUUUUGGUAUUACGACAUAUUGCCAGAUAAUAAUUUUUUUAAGAUAUCUCAAAUAUGAAUCGGUAUAUGCUGUAGAAAAUUAACCGGAAAUUCGAAAACCUUAUAUUGGGGAAUGUCAUUAUCAUGAAAAUAUUCUCUCCUAAUUCCGAUACUAGACCUUUACUUCCGGUAUAAGUUAGCCACAGGCACUGGAGUCCACAUAUUCGUUAUAUGGGACCUUGAAAAGUUAUAGUCCGAUUUCGAUAAUUUUUAGACGCGAUAUGGAAUACGAAAAAGGCACAAUUUUCUUGACUCCCGAUUUAGAAACUAUGUAAUGAGAGAAUCAAAUGGAAUUUAAAAUUGUUAUACAUAUAUGCGAAGUAGACGUGAAUUCGCCCAUUAUCACAAUGUGAGAUAGGAUAACACACCUAAAAUGGUUAAUAUCGGAUAAAAUCGGAUUUCACCUUAAGUGGGCGAUGCUAUGUCACAUUUUGGUAGCUGCUUUUAUGAAGCCCCUCGAUGCAAUAUACACAUUACCGUUGCUUAAUGGAGACUAAUUGUCUUUCAAUCACUCCUGGGUGACAUUGGUUCGCAUUUAUUAGAUCAGUAGAAAUAUAGAUCGGAGUAGCAGAAUCGGUCUCAAAGAAAAUAUUUUAUUACGCAUGUAGCACAAAAACACUGCGCCGGUGAAUGUCUGGUUUUGAGGAAUUUAACUAUAUUUACAUCAUAAACAUGAGCUUUCCUUGCAUCCGCUUAUUUUUCUGUAUGCGAACCAGUCUCUCAGUUUUGAGAUAUACUAUAAGUAGUUCUAAAAUUUUGCACACGUCCUUUUCUCUCCAAGAAGCUGCCCAAUUAUAGAAACCGAUAUGAGACUUUUUUAUUUACCAAAAUAUCUGCACAAAAUUUGGCAUGGAUUAUUAUCAAAGGCACCUGUAUAACCUUCGAAGAAAUUGCAGUCAGAUUGGAUAGCUAACAUGCAAACUGAUCGAACAAAGUCAUCUCCCUGUAUGGAAUAUUUCGUAUUUCUGAAAGCUAUUAUACCUUUUCGUUUUUUUUUAAGAAUAUAAAUUACGUUAUUAAAUUAUUUAAGUAAAUUUA
rnacentral:lncRNA from 1 species